rnacentral:snoRNA from 1 species
CUAUUAAAAGGUGGUUCGGAGAGGAUUUUUCAUCACCUUUGUCAGCUCAAGCUAUGUGAGGGAAUAAAGACCACACUCCACAGUGAGCCGUGUGACUUAUAUGUGGUUCCUUACUAUUUUGUGGCCUAAGAG